GGGGAAGUACUCAAGAGGCUCAAGAGGCGCCCCUGCUAAGGGCGUAGGUCGCGAAAGCGGUGCGAGGGUUCGAAUCCCUCCUUCUCCGCCA
rnacentral:tRNA from 2 species